CAAUGAAACAAAUUUUAUUCUUAGCAGACAAAGCCAUAAUCAUCUUACGUUUCCAACCUCCAUAACCACUACCCGAGAAGGGAGUGGGAACAAGAGACACACCAGGCACAUCAGAAGAAUUUACAAACAAAGGGUUGGAAGAGUCUAUAGAACCAGAAUUACCACCAGAACCACCAACAUUUGUGUUAGAUGUCAUGUUCAAAUGAAUUAGUUUGUCAACAAGUAUACUGAAACCGAAACAGAACGCUCACAAAUAUCACCAAAUAUCAGUAUUCACAACAGAAACAAAUUAUUCACAGAUAGAAUCAAACAAUCGCACAUAACCAAAGAAUAGGAAUAGUGUUACCGUCCUUCUUCGCAACUGGAGAAGAUCGGCCUUUUAACAACAGAUAAAACCCUAGGUAUGAGCCCUAGGAACACCCGUCAAAAUUUGCCGGAGAUACCGUCAAGGAUGUCGGAGUAGGAACAAUAACACCCAAAACACCCGCUAAAAUGAGUAUCAACCCACCAGAUAGUAGUCAAACGACCGAUUUGGCCACCAGAAACCCUAGAAGUUGAAAACUCACCCGAAAAUCUCCAAAAAUUCUACAACAAUCGAUUGAACCGUUCAAGAGAAGAGAACAGUCAUAGAUCGUGAAGAUAAUGACUUGAAACAGGCCCAAUCGGAGUCAAAACCAUCACUAACCUUUCGAUCUCAGAAAACCCCAAAAAUUUCAUCAGAGAACAGUUCAAAUGAACUACUGAUUCAUAGAAAAAUAUCAUCGGAUCAUUGUGUAGGCUCUGAUACCAUGAAAACAUCCAAGAAAUCAUGGAAAUUUAGAGAGAGAAAGUAGAGAGAAGGAGGAGAGUUUGCGGAAGUCUCUGGAACAAUAGAGAAGAUAUUUCUCAUAAAAUGACCCCUCAGUCUUCUUACAAAACGACCCCUAUACAUAUAUACAAAAUGACCCUUUACAUAAAUGGCCUAUUACAUAGAUAGCCCUAUUACACAGAUAGCCCUAUUACAUAGAUAGCCUAUAUCUCAAC
rnacentral:lncRNA from 1 species